GCCCAGGUGGCGGAACCCGGUAUACGCGCUAGCUUGAGGUGCUAGUUCUCGCAAGGGAUUGGAGGUUCAAAUCCUCUCCUGGGCA
rnacentral:tRNA from 1 species